rnacentral:rRNA from 1 species
GAUGAACGCUGGCGGCGUGCCUAAUACAUGCAAGUCGAGCGAACAGACGAGAGUGCUUGCACUCUCUGACGUUAGCGGCGGACGGGUGAGUAACACGUGGGUAACCUACCUAUAAGACUGGGAUAACUUCGGGAAACCGGAGCUAAUACCGGAUAAUAUUUAGCUUCGCAUGAAGCAAUAGUGAAAGACGGUUCUGCUGUCACUUAUAGAUGGACCCGCGGUGUAUUAGCUAGUUGGUGAGGUAACGGCUCACCAAGGCAACGAUACAUAGCCGACCUGAGAGGGUGAUCGGCCACACUGGGACUGAGACACGGCCCAGACUCCUACGGGAGGCAGCAGUAGGGAAUCUUCCGCAAUGGGCGAAAGUCUGACGGAGCAAUGCCGCGUGAGUGAAGAAGGUGUUCGGAUCGUAAAACUCUGUUGUAAGGGAAGAACAAGUACGUUAGUAACUGAACGUACCUUGACGGUACCUUACCAGAAAGCCACGGCUAACUACGUG